AUCAUUGGGCUCUUGAUACAGGUGUGUUUGGGCGACAGCAUUUUAGGAAGGGCAGGGCAGCACAGCUGGCUGCUAUCAGCCUUUUGCAAACUGCUCCGUCUGCCCACUCUGAUCAAUGCUGCAGUGCAAAAUGCUUCCUAAGGCUGAGGGAAGUGUGGUUGUGGCCUCUCCAGAAGCAUGGCUGGAGGGAGAAGAGUCUGUCUUCUGUGAAAACAAGUUUUCUGCCUGCUUGUCUUCAGAAGAUGGAGGGUGAAUCUAGUUCUCUUCAGGCAGCUCAGCUUGGACAAAGACAGCGAAGGACUCCGGAUUUCGUGGUGCUUCAUGUGCCAUGCAGAGAUAAAAGGUAGAACAUGCCUCUCUCGACUGCUCCCAGGGAAACUCCAUUACCCUUCAAGGACCACGUGGCAAUGGCAAGCCAAUCUGAGGGGGAAGAGGCAGCCCGCAAGGACGAGCUCAGGAUGAGCAGAAAAUGAAGUUGUUACCAGACAGCAAACAGCAGCCUUCGGUUCUUAUGAAUAUUUGAAUGAGUAACUAAAAACAGCUCAGUGGACUCUAAGCAACUGUGACAGCUGAAACUGCCUGGGAAACUAGCAGUCUGCAAGGACUGUGAAGAAAAGAUCAGCACUGCAUUUUUACCUACACCUCCAUCGGUGUAUUCUAAAACUUUAGCAGAUUCGUUGUCCCCAAAUAUUUGUUAGAAAACAAAAACUCUGUGUGAAUUUUCAUAAGCGAGGUACCUGCAGAAUCUGUCUAGAAAUUGAGAAUUCAUUAAAAUACAAUGAUUUCUAACAAUUUACUCGAGGCAAGAGAAUAGCCACAUUUUCUAGACAUUGAAAUAUUGAUGUUGCUGUUGCUUAUACUCAUAGAAAAUUGGCCCUAGUGAAUCUUUCAUGAAUAUCUUUCAGCUGGUUCCACGUGGAAAGAAAGAUGAUGAGGACAGUUUCCCUGAAGCUGAAAUAUUCUGAAUAAUCUGCAAAAAAAAAAAAGUGGGGGGAGGGAGGGCAGGAACUGUAACAAGCAAACCAUCGCAAGGUUACUCGCUAUUUUACAGCAGUUGAAAAGCUAUUACAGCAGUUCUGAUGGCAUAAGGCAACUAUCUCUCUUUUUCAUGGCAGACUUCAUUUUUUUUUAAAUGCAGUUUUCUGACUCUGAUUUUUUAUUUUUUUUUUUAAUGUGUAUUAAUUACCAAGCUGCAUUUAAAAAAGCUUUUGUUGUGACCUUCCUGGCUAUGCAGGUCAGAGUUAAUGUGUCCUCUCUGAGUUCCCAGCACAGUUUACCAAUGUCAUUGCUCUUUACCAGGUUUUUCUCACUGGGGCUGCCUGUGUGAGGGUGUAUUGCAGAACUGAUUUGCUACCAUGUUUAAAACGCUGCUCUGGAAUCAAGUUGAGUGACAUCUUCCUCAUAUAUAUAUAUAUUUUUUUUUUAUUACAAUUUCAGGUUUAUACUAUAAAUCUGACUUGAGAACCAGAUGAAUUGUUCAGAUAAAAUGUAACUGGCGUGCCAUAUAUGAAUAACAAAGAAAGAAGUAGGCAUUUAAACAAAGAUGAAGAGCCUUUUCAACAAGAACUGAAAUUACGUUUUUCAAAUGGCACUUCAUUCUGACACGUGUACCAUUUUGGAGCAGUGAUGUUGGCAUCAGCAUAACAUCUGCAGGGCUGAAAAAGAGCUCAGAGAAACUGGUGCUGCCACCGAGGUAGCUGUGUCUAACCUUUUCAUAAGAGUUCAUCCACAGCGAUGUCGGAAUAAUUGCUCCUGUUAAAACAGACAAAGAUUGGCUGGCACACCUCUUGAACUGCUGCCCAGACCUCUUCUCUAUGAGCUUGGGAAUUAGAGUGCCACAGUUGAGUCAUAUUUCUUAGUUUGCUCUGCCUUUGCUCCCCUGGAAGGAGUAGGUCUGGUUCCACCUAUUCUGUCAGUACUCUCAAGGAAACGACAUAUGUAGGAUAUUUCCUGGCAUAUGUAGGAUAAAUCACAAUUUGGGCUACAAGUCAGCGACAGAAAUGAAUGAAGAAUUCUGAGCACAUUUCUCUUUUAAAUUUUGUAUCAGUUGUGAUAUUUGUAACACUGUUUUGCUAUUUAUUUUGGUUACCUCACUAAAACUUUACCUGUUUGUGGUUAACUGAUGAGAUCUAGGUUGCUUUUUGGCAUAAUUACUUUCGUUCACCUUUUUGCUGUAUGUUAUGUGGUUAGUAAUUUGCAGUUUUGUUCCUGCAAAUCUGAUGACAGCUUUUGUGGACAAGAGAGGACUUUACAAGGAAGAAAAAAGAGAGGUGGGGGAAGAUGGGAGGAGAAAAAAAGAAAAAAAAUUUUCUCAAACCACUGGAAUUAUAGGACCCAUAGCAGAGCAAAUGUGUAAAGGAUGCUUUCUUGGUCUGCUCCUCUACUCUGUUAGCUUGAGACUGGUCUUCUGGAUUAUUUCAAGUGUUUCUAAGCUUGGCUAUACCUUUAUAAGCAAAGGUUAUUAAAUGCCACAAAAUGCCACAGGCCAUGGGCUCGAGUAGGUCUAGAACAGAACAGGACUUGUCUGGAAAGACCUGUUGGCAAUAAAACAAUGCUCCAAAAAGGAAUGAGCUGAACUGCUGUUGGAAAGGCUGUAGUUCCUGCCUCUGCUUGUCUGGGGCAGAAGUGUCAGCAGUGCUUAGCAGUGACCUGGUUUCCUGCUGAAGGACGCGGUGCAGACGGAAGGCUGAUGCCCCCCUACGAGGGCCCAUCCUGCCCUUUGCUUCCCAGCACAUGUGAGCGGUUCCCAGGUUGAUGCAGUUGCUGCUGAAUGUAGCCCUCUCCCAGGAGCAGCGCCCGGCUCUGCUGGAAGGUGCAGGUGGUGACACAGCUGCCUCUUGCUCCCUUGGUACCUUGGAGCUGCAAGCAGAGCCCCCAGCCAGGGCCACUGUCAUUCCACUUAUGCUCCUUUCUGUUGCUACUGCUUGUUGCUGAUUACUGGCCUGUUGUUGGUGAGCCCCUUCCUCUUGAGGAAAUCUCUCUGGGAUUGUGGGUAGUUCAUUCUCUAAAUUUAAAUGUGUACCUUGGUGCAAGAAAUAGGCCCAGCAAAAGUCUCCACCAUCUGCUGUGGAUGGGUACAAGGACACUCCUUGUGAGAGAUAUGUGAAUGACAAUCUGUGCCCUGGCACUUGGGUGCAGGAGCUUCAGGAUGCUGUAUGUUGGCACAUAUGCACACAAGUAUGUGUACAAGUGCAGAUUAGUGCAAAUACAACUGAAGGCAGGGUGAUGUCUAGCAUCGCUGUCCUAUGUGGGUCUGUCAGCAGCCCAUCUGCGCAUCCAUCUUCCUUUCUCCAGAAACGUGCUGUGAAGGCUGAUGGCCAGAGCUGGCAGCUCCAAGUUCCUGCCUGCAUCACCUCUGUAGCUGUAUAGAUUUUCCUGAAUUCAUCCUUUUCCAGACCUGCAAAAACUGAACUGCUAUUAAAACAAACAGAAAAAAAACCCAAAACAACAACCAAAACCACCUAAGACAAAUUCCUUCCUUCUAAAAACAAACAAACAAGCAAAAAUACCCCCACAAACAAAUAAAUACAGAGUUUAAAAAAAAAAAAAAAAGUCCACAAGAAUCACUUGCUAAUCUGAUGACAUAACUCUUCAAAGCCACCAGGCAUCACUGUUGCACCUCUGCCUGGGCAUUCUUCAUUCUGUUAAAAGCUGCAGAUUAUCCUGUUAAUUAGUUGGGGAUUGUUUUUUUAAUCAGUAUUUAUGUCAUUGUGGGUCACUGCCUGCAUACAGGACUGCACACCCAAAGGGAUUAUUUUGUCAGUUUACAGCCACCCUGUUAGCUCUGACCACGUCUUGCAGAACACAGAGGAUGCAUAUUCUUGGCUUUUCUUUGAUUUAUUUAGCUAUCUUUCAGCUGUCUUUUGCUUCACCUGUGUCAGCCUACACACGGGAGAUACAGGUGUGCCUAGCUGCACUGCACUUCAGUAGGUGAGGAUGGAAAGGACACAGGAGCAAAGGCUUACAUUUACAGGUACUUCUGUGAGAUGAGCUGUACAGUGAGUUUGUGGUGAUGGGUGGUGCACAGAAGCUCUGUCGAGAAGAUGAAGGAUACCUGGUGCUUUCCUACCUCCUUGCUUGGGCAUCCGCUGAAGGAAUCUUUCCUUUCUGAAGCAUUCUCAAAUUUAUUAGGCAGAAGUGUGCAAAAUAACUGUUAUAAAUAAGAAAGUAUUUGAAAUGAUUUGUAUUUUAUUUUCUAGCUUUUUAAGCAGCUAAGGAAGUUCAGCUUUAUUCUGGGUGUUUUCCCUUUCUCGCCUCUCCAUUCCUGGUCCUGAGUUUCCCAAUGGGAUGUUGAAGGCAGUGCUGAGGCUUCACAAACUGUAGUGGCAAUGAGAAAUAGGUCCUUAAAAAUAGCUUUUCUUUGUUUCAUGUUUUUCUGGGCAAAGUAUUCUUUGCUUUUUUGUUCUCCUUCUAGUAAACGAAUGCACCAGGCUUGACAGUAGCUGUUAUGCAGUUACCUGGACCCGCACCUACCAGGAGGCUCGCUGCCACCAGCGGCUUUCAUUUCACCGUGACAGGAAAGCAGUGCUCCUGAGAUUUCAGUGUCUCAGGGUUAUGCUGGAGUAGGGUCUCUUUGGGCGUGCGUUAGUGACCUGAAAAAAUAAGGAUUUGUAUCCUGCUCUCCACUGGAGACGCGUUUCAGCAGUUACUGGUGAUUCUGGAAGUAAUUUCCUCUGAGGUUUUCUUGGUUUUGUGCACAAAAAACAAGAUCUGAGAGUUGUUUUGUAGCUGCUACAUUUUAUUUUUCCUAUAGGAGACAAAAGCCCGUUUCCUUUUGAUAUCCUCUUACUAAAUUCUGGAAAUACUUUUAUUUUAAUAGCCAACAAUGGAGAUUUUUCUCUCCGUGGUUCUUCACACACAGAGGGAUUUUGUUUUUAAGGUUCAGUGACAUAGUUUCUGCUUUACAAUACUUGAUUAUUCUUUGAGUACAGAAUAGACUGGGGGAUGGAGUUCCUAGUCCCUUGCUUCUAAUUUCCAUUCAAAGUAGCCCUUCACAAAAAUCAAAAUUAAAAAGGAUUCUUUGCAUGAGUGGGAAGAUGGAGUUACUGACUUUUUGCCAUAGGAGUCCAUCACUCACUGCUCACGUCUGUAGCAGUGGGACUCAAAAUGAGAUGAUGGAACAGGAUUGCUGUAUCAAGUCUAAACAAUUACUCUGAAACUGGAAUCCCUGUAAAAUAGGGAAGACUUAGCUCUACUUUAGAGGUGAUAAGUGUGUAGAUACUCGUUACUGAUAACUGGGGAUUUAAUUGCUGUAAAUCUUUUUUCUAAAACAAAUCAAACAAAAUAGGCCCCAAAAGGGCUUUUAUUUUUCUCUUGGAUCUUAAUUGUACAAUGUAGAAAUUCAAAAUAAAGCAUGCAAGAUUGU